GCAACAUGGGUGGCGAUGGCAUUAGUUAAGGGAAAAGCCAACCCUAUAGUUUUCGGAAGAGCUCCGCUAAGAAUAAAAGAUGUUUAAAGGUUUGAAAAAGGUGUUUUCAAAGUGCUAAGCACCCCCCGGAUAGGCAUAAGAGCGCAAACACGACCGAAGGCUCCGCCCCAUGGCUGUAUCCGACCGUCUGAAGGACCGUCUGAAGGACCGACCGAAGGACCGUCUGAAGGACCGACCGAAGGACCGUCUGAAGGACCGAACCCAACUCCAGACUCUCGGAAAACCUCCAGCGCGGUACUUACCGUCCCACGGACGACCCCGUACACGAGCACUUUCCCUAGGGACCACUCCUGCACACACACGCUAUCACAAACAGUAAAUAAAUUCACUUGUUUAAUACUUAAACAGCCUUGUGUCUGUCUGUGCUCCAUCCACUGCUGGCUAAACUCGCUACGUUACAUUUUAUCAAGUGUUAUAUGAGCAUUUUUUCUCUCGUUACUGAUAAAGGUGUACCGUUGAUAAAUACCGAUACUGUUUUAUUGCCCAGCCCCAAUAAAAACUCUUUAAAAUCGUCAGUAAAGUUUUGGCCAUCAUUCAGAUGGGGUCAGAUCCCUGCUGCACGCGCUCGCUCAAGGUUUCAGCUCGAUGAUGAUAAACGGACAGCAGGAAGUGAGAGUCAGCCUGAUGGUCAGCGGAGAUGGGGAGGCAUAAAAAGUGAGAUGACCAUGGAAAGGGACACUGAAACUCAGGGGUAUGAAGGCUUGCCUCAAACAGAAACAGAAGGCAUAAAUUAAAAGGAUAUUAAUGUAGCUGAACUCCUUCGUCGUUCAGAACGUCCACGUAGAAAAUGCUUGCUUACCAGAAAGAUGAAUGCAGUCUAUUGUCACACCUCCAGCCCCACAAAGAGGUAUGCUGAGUUUUCUGGGACUUACAGACUAUUGUCAUUAGUUAAUUCCUGACUGCUCACAACAUGACAAAAUUCUCAGACACUGUUGUCUCAAGGACUCUCCACAGAACAUUGAAUGGACUAAGGAGAUGAUGAACUCUUUCUGUUAUCUAAGAAAGGCAUUAAGCUCAGCUCCAGCUCUGGGAAUCCUGGACUCAUCCCCAUUCCACCUUGGUCGCUGGUUAGGCGGCGCUGUCCCUGAGAGAUAUGGAAACCCAGAUACUGGGCCAGUGUCUGACAGAGCUGAAGUUUAGUUAGCGAGGCCUUGAAACCACAUUGAGCCAGAUAAGGCCUGAUGUACCAUGGACAAGAACACAGCGGGGGAGCUGUAUGGUGCUGUGUGCUGUAGGGAGAUACUGUAUGAAUGACCAUGCCCUGCGCGAGUAAAGAAUCAAUCACCAAAUGUAUGCCUAAGUCCUUUUCUGCUGAUAGCGGAUACUGUUUGCAGUAAAUGGGCCAAGUAGUUUUGAGCAUAAGGGGUUACCUGAAUGAGUCCUACUUCAUUAGUAUGCUUUGCCCAUAAAGUUUUAGGCACGGCCGCUAAUGCUUCAGGCAGUGGAUACUCAGUCAGACUCGUGCUCGUCACGUGUGUGGAGAAGCUCUCCUCAUUUACUAAUAGAUGUGCCAUCAGCACAGCGACAGCAGUGCCAUCAAAGAGACAAUCUCCCAGAUGAAAAUUGAUGGAGAACUUUUGCCAACCCUUUUUUUUGGCAACUUUUGCCAAUAGCCAGGAAUGUCAGGAAUUUGUUAGCCAGUAUUUGUUUGACUAUAAAGUUUGACUUGUUAAAAGCUAUAGCUGCUCAGCUGUAUGCAUGGAAAUGCG